AUUUAAGUAGUUUAAUAUAAAAAUAUAGAUUUGUGGAUUCUUUGAUGUUGAUAAAACCUUAAGUU
rnacentral:tRNA from 1 species